rnacentral:lncRNA from 1 species
CCUCCUCAUUUUCUAUCAUCUCUCUCGCCCUCCUCGCAUGGAUUCGGGCCUCCGGUCCUUCCUCUUCGCCGGCUUUUCUUCCUCUUUCUUCAGUAUCGCGGCUGCUGGUUUGAAGACGGUCAGGUGCAGGUCGGGGGUCAUUGGUCUGAGGUUCCUCUACAACCGGGAGUGUAUUUACUGGGGUGUUGAGGCCUCUCUGUUGCAUUAUCUGCCCCAACCAGUGGGCGGUAUUCUAUAACUGGAAAGCCAUGUUUUGAAG